UCUUGGGUUCUCAGACAGCUUGGUUUAGGUCAUUCUUGAUGAGGUCCAAAAUGAACAUAUUGUUUAAAGUGAUAUUGCUCUGGACACUUAUCCAAGAAUGCAGGGGGCAGUACACAGUGACUCAGACUCCAUCAGCAUUACCUGCUGCUCCUGGACAAACAGUCUCCCUGAACUGUAAAGUCAGCAGUAAUGUUUAUAACAACAACUAUCUGCACUGGUACCAUCAGGUAUCUGGAGAGCCUCCUAAACUCCUGAUUUACUAUACUGACCGUCUCCAGUCAGGCACUCCAUCUCGAUUCAGUGGCAGUGGAUCUGGAAGUGCUUUCACUCUGACCAUCAGUGGAGUCCAGACUGAAGAUGCAGGAGAUUACUACUGUCAGAGUCUACACUGGCCUGGCAGUGUGCAAACGUUCACACAGUGA